AGAGGAGGUAGAGAAAGAGAUAAGGGUAGAAAAAUGAAGGAAAAACACUAUAUGAUUAUUUCAAUUGAUGCCGAAAAAUCAUUUGAUAAAAUUCAAUAUUCCUUCCUAAUAAAACCCAGACUGAACAAUAUAAAAGUCAUAUAUGAGAGACCCACAGCUCAUAUCAUACUAAAUGGGGAGAAACUGAAAAGCCUUUCUCUAAGAUCUGAAACACAGCAAGGAUGCCCACUUUCAUCACUGUUUUCCAACAUAUCCUGGAAGUGCUAGCAAGAGCAACUGGACAACAUAAAUAAGUAAAGGGCCCCCAAACUGGAAACAAAUAGUCAGAUUAUCCUUGUUUGCAGAUUAUAUG
rnacentral:lncRNA from 1 species